GUGGGGGGCUGAGCCCCUGUGGCUUCAGGUUUAAAGGCGCGAGCGCCACCCACGCAGGCACAAGGGCUCCUAGUCGUUUUAUUUUUAGCGUAAGGUUUUCCUCUUUAACAAGGAAGUAAAAAAAAAAGUUGUGCAAUAAAUAUUAAUCGUCCUUAUAUGUACUCGGGAACGUUCGUCCUUUAGGUUUUCUCCUGGCGCAUGGGCGCCGCCAAUCAUUUCGGGGCUUAUUUUGGUUCUAAAGCCCGGGGCAGCCAGGCCUCCCUGCCUGGCCUCGGCGGGGACGCGGGACCUGGGGCCCCGGACCGGGCCUAACCGCCCUGGCCGGUCCCCACUGAUGGUGGCGGUCGGUCCUGAUCGUCCUGAUGGCAGCGACCAGGCUGGACUCGGGCUGUGCAGGGGCGAGGGGAGCAGGGCGGGGUGACGCCCGGAGAGCGGCCUGGAGAGCGCGUGCUUCAGAAGGCGUGGGCACCCUGUCCCCUUUGCAGAUGGGGAUGCAGGCCCUGGUGGCGGUGGAGGGGAGAUGGGGGCAGGGACGUUGCCGGGCAGAGGAAGCUGGCCAUUCCUGGGGGAUUCCUGGGAGCCAUGUGGGAGAGGCGUGAGGAAGUGAGACCUUCACCCCGAGACAGGUCCUGACACACCCUCUGGUGCCUCUACUCAAGUGAGGUGAGAGGGGAAACUGGUGUAUUUUUAGAUGAAGUUUCCUUGGGAAAUUGUUUCUAUUUUAUAUUUUAUCAGUAAUCCCCUGGCUAAUGUUUUAAACCAAUAUUUAUAACACUGCCUCAGAGCUUUGGAAUAAACAGAUUUCCAUAAAGAAAAGCUGCUUUAGAGUGCUACACUGUAAGAGGGGCCGGGCAAACAAGAAGGGACGGAGGAAAGACCACCAAGUGAGAGGCACAGGUGUCAGGACACACAGAGAGCCCGAAAACGAGGCAGAGUUUGGCUGCUGUAACUGACUGGGAAGCUUAAAAUAACAGACAAUCAUCUCUCACAUUUAUGGGGACUGGGAAGUCCAAGACCAAGUUGCCAUCUGGGGAGGGCCUGUUCCUCACAGCGCCUUCCAGCUCAGGCCUCGUUUAUAAGGGCACUCAAGCCUUCCACGACAACGGGUCCUCAUGACUUACUCACCUCGGAAAGCCCCACCCCCAAGACCAUCACAUUGUGGGUGAUGGCAGAGCAUAAGGUGCCUUCCCCACAUGCUCGGGUUGGCCCAGCGUCUCACGCUAGCAGCUACGUGGAAUAGUUAUUUUUUCUGGAGAACUCUGGGACCCCUCUGAUGUCUUGGAGCACCCACACAGGCCGUUCACUGUGCACGCUGUGAGGCUGUCGUCUUGGAGCACCCACACAGGCCGUUCACUGUGCACGUGGUGAGGCUGUCCUCUGGGGAGUUCUGCUGUUGUAUGGGUUCUGUCUGUGUCAAUGUCCCAGCGGGAACGCAGGGCACACUAGCGUCAUCCCCAGAGGGCUUGGUAAGGGGACUGUUUGCAGAGACAUAGGCAGAGGGCUGGAAAACUACCAAAAAAGUGCAGUGUUCUGGACCUAAUAAUAGCAGAGCUAUUCUCACCCUGGUCUGAAGGCAGGAGGGGAGGAGCAGUUAAUGGAUUCUGGAAGUCAGGUUGCACAGAGUCACCUUGAAAGAUGCCAUGACCUUCACCGAGGGCCAGACAGAGACUAAGAUGACCCCAUAGGAGAAUAAGACCUAGACCUCAUCCUCCUGCCUCCUGCCAGUCCCUGCCAGGGGUCGCCAAUGGCAAAACAGGACUGGAAGCCAGAGGCCAUGGAAGCCCAUGGAUGAAGUCCACAGGCCAGCCUCCCCGAGAGCAGCCUGGACGGUCCGCAGGAGACGUCUCCUGUCUUAGGCGUCCCACGCCGCGUGCUCCUGUUCAGCCCUGCCGAGGUGGAAGCUUGGAGUGGCUCACGGUGGAUGCAUUGACGCUGCAGACGCCAGCAAGUGCUACAAACCAGAGCUGGCCUUUAACUCAGACUGAUGGAGAAGGUGUUAAUAAUGCAGAUUAGACUUAAAAGUGUUGAAGCCAUUGCACUGUGAACAGCAAAAAAAUUGAAGAACUCUUCUGGCAUUUAAAAACAAUUACUCAGUUCAGCAGAGAAGUCACUGACAAACGAGAUCACACUGACUGCUUUGUCGUUUUGGUUUUGUCUUACUCAUUAAUGCAAAUAAGAACAUUCACUAGCAUCUGUGUCGGGCCUACCCUCCCUGGUCAAAUACAGCUACAGUCUCCCUGCAGAAACGAGUUUUCCAGAAAUGAGCCGAUGUUUUCUGCGAGAAUCAAUUGGUCAUAUACAAUUUACAAAAAUGAGUACUGUAUACUAUAUUUGUAAACUGUACACUGCAGAUGCUUUAUUUCACUGAAAUUUAUAAUACACUUAUCCAUGUAUAUGCAUGCAUGCAUUUUUGUUCCUGAGAUCCAGCUGUGAAAUGUUUACCAGCACAUAAAUUACCAGCACAUGCUCUUUUUUGUUAACCUACUAGGUAAAAUCUUCAUUUAUUACAUCAAAUUCUUGUAGUUUUUGUAUUGCAAUUAUGCAGAUAUUGAUUAUCGCAGUAUUACUGCAAUUAUACAGAUACCACAAUUUCAGAUAUUGAUCAGCGUGUUCAGUUGGUUUCUAAGGAGGUUUACUUACCUCAUGGUACACCUAGUUUGCAUAGUUUGAUUAUAUUUAACUCUUAUGCUAAUUGGGGGAAGUCAUUGAUUUAUUGGACAGAUGCACCUGUGGUCUUCCCUGAGCACAUCCUGGCCAAGGAUGCUGCCCCCAGGAGAUUUGAGAAGUCCUGUAAGGAUCAUAUCAGUAUUUUCAAAUACUUAUAGAAAAGCCAGAGGGAUUGACCCAGAAUUACCAAUAUAAGCUUGACCCUGAGAUAACAAUGCCAUUUUAUGUUUGCAUGCAUAAAACCAAUGCAAGAGGCUGAUGACUCCAGAUCCCUUAUAUAAGCCAAUAAAAAGUAGUUUCAUUUUUUAUUUCAUUUAAAAAAGUGUACCAU
rnacentral:lncRNA from 1 species